AUACGGAGGGUGCAAGCGUUAAUCGGAAUUACUGGGCGUAAAGAGUACGUAGGCGGCUUGUUAAGUCAGAUGUGAAAGCCCAGGGCUCAACCUUGGAACUGCAUUUGAAACUGGCAAGCUAGAGUAUGGUAGAGGGGGGUAGAAUUUCUGGUGUAGCGGUGAAAUGCGUAGAUAUCAGAAGGAAUACCAGUGGCGAAGGCGGCCCCCUGGCCCAAUACUGACGCUGAGGUACGAAAGCGUGGGUAGCGAACGGGAUUAGAAACCCCAGUAGUCC
rnacentral:rRNA from 1 species